CAGGCUUAACACAUGCAAGUCGAGGGGCAGCAUUUCAGUUUGCUUGCAAACUGGAGAUGGCGACCGGCGCACGGGUGAGUAACACGUAUCCAACCUGCCGAUAACUCGGGGAUAGCCUUUCGAAAGAAAGAUUAAUACCCGAUGGCAUAAUUAGACCGCAUGGUCUUAUUAUUAAAGAAUUUCGGUUAUCGAUGGGGAUGCGUUCCAUUAGGCAGUUGGUGAGGUAACGGCUCACCAAACCUUCGAUGGAUAGGGGUUCUGAGAGGAAGGUCCCCCACAUUGGAACUGAGACACGGUCCAAACUCCUACGGGAGGCAGCAGUGAGGAAUAUUGGUCAAUGGGCGCAGGCCUGAACCAGCCAAGUAGCGUGAAGGAUGACUGCCCUAUGGGUUGUAAACUUCUUUUAUAUGGGAAUAAAGUUUUCCACGUGUGGAAUUUUGUAUGUACCAUAUGAAUAAGGAUCGGCUAACUCCGUGCCAGCAGCCGCGGUAAUACGGAGGAUCCGAGCGUUAUCCGGAUUUAUUGGGUUUAAAGGGAGCGUAGGUGGACAGUUAAGUCAGUUGUGAAAGUUUGCGGCUCAACCGUAAAAUUGCAGUUGAUACUGGCUGUCUUGAGUACAGUAGAGGUGGGCGGAAUUCGUGGUGUAGCGGUGAAAUGCUUAGAUAUCACGAAGAACUCCGAUUGCGAAGGCAGCUCACUGGACUGCAACUGACACUGAUGCUCGAAAGUGUGGGUAUCAAACAGGAUUAGAUACCCUGGUAGUCCACACAGUAAACGAUGAAUACUCGCUGUUUGCGAUAUACAGUAAGCGGCCAAGCGAAAGCAUUAAGUAUUCCACCUGGGGAGUACGCCGGCAACGGUGAAACUCAAAGGAAUUGACGGGGGCCCGCACAAGCGGAGGAACAUGUGGUUUAAUUCGAUGAUACGCGAGGAACCUUACCCGGGCUUAAAUUGCAUUUGAAUAAUCUGGAAACAGGUUAGCCGCAAGGCAAAUGUGAAGGUGCUGCAUGGUUGUCGUCAGCUCGUGCCGUGAGGUGUCGGCUUAAGUGCCAUAACGAGCGCAACCCUUAUCUUUAGUUACUAACAGGUCAUGCUGAGGACUCUAGAGAGACUGCCGUCGUAAGAUGUGAGGAAGGUGGGGAUGACGUCAAAUCAGCACGGCCCUUACGUCCGGGGCUACACACGUGUUACAAUGGGGGGUACAGAAGGCAGCUACCUGGUGACAGGAUGCUAAUCCCAAAAGCCUCUCUCAGUUCGGAUCGAAGUCUGCAACCCGACUUCGUGAAGCUGGAUUCGCUAGUAAUCGCGCAUCAGCCAUGGCGCGGUGAAUACGUUCCCGGGCCUUGUACACACCGCCCGUCAAGCCAUGAAAGCCGGGGGUACCUGAAGUACGUAACCGCAAGGAGCGUCCUAGGGUAAAACUGGUAA
rnacentral:rRNA from 1 species